CCUACGGGAGGCAGCAGUGGGGAAUAUUGCACAAUGGGCGAAAGCCUGAUGCAGCAACGCCGCGUGAAGGAAGAAGGGUUUCGGCUCGUUAACUUCUAUCAACAGGGACGAAAGAAAUGACGGUACCUGAAUAAGAAGCCCCGGCUAACUACGUGCCAGCAGCCGCCGUAAUACGUAGGGGGCAAGCGUUAUCCGGAAUUACUGGGUGUAAAGGGUGAGUAGGUGGCAUGGUAAGCCAGAUGUGAAAGCCCUGGGCUUAACCCGAGGAUUGCAUUUGGAACUAGCAAGCUAGAGUACGGGAGAGGAAAGCGGAAUGCCUAGUGUAGCGGUGAAAUGCGUAGAUAUUAGGAAGAACACCGGUUGCGAAGGCGGCCUGCUGGACGAUGACUGACGUUGAGGCUCGAAAGCGUGGGGAGCGAACAGGAUUAGAUACCCGAGUAGUC
rnacentral:rRNA from 1 species